CUCCGCACCUCCACUAGCUGAGUAACGGGUAUCAGAUAGUCGGGAAACGAGACUAUAGUUUUCUCUCUUGCCAGAAGCACAACCGAAACCAGAAUGAGAACGAGCGCUCGAAACGACAGUGCAUAAAAUAUAUUUUUGCUUUUUACUAAAAAUUUCCAUACAUGUUUCAUGUAUAUUCCUCUGAACGCCCCUCAACCUCAAAGUUCUAUCUGGUGUAUAAAUUUGCGUUUGCAUUUUUUGGAUGAUAAGGUUGGGAGGGUGGAAGUAUUCUGGGUUCUGGGGGAUUGAAAGCGAUUGUCUGCUUGUUUAUGCUAAAGCAAAGAGAACCAGGCACUCCGGCAAGGAUCUGAAAAACGCAAACAAAGCCUUUUUGUCGGAGCCAUAUGCUGGAUUUAGUUUCCUUUCAAAGUAUUUCUUUUUUGCUUUUGGAUCUAAAAAAAAAUGUUUAGACAAAUUAAAAACAGUAAGGGUAAAGGUUCGUUCUAUGGACGGUGGAGAAUUUGUUUUCUGCGUUGGAAACGCGCAUUUGGGUCAAGGUGUUUGUUUUCCGUUUUUAUUAUUCUUAUUGUUGCUGUCGACUUGUUUUUGCUUUAUUAUGAAAAUUGCAGCAACGACAACAACGUAUUGUUUUCCUUAUAUUAUUUUUGUUGUUGACGCUGUCAUUAUGAAAGCGAAAUGCAGGACAACGGCAAAAAGGAAUAAACACCCUCAACCGCCCACAUGUGCAUAAAAUAUGUUCUUGAUACUAUUCGUGGCGUGUUAGCCAUGCCAAAACGCUAAAAAAAAGUCAAAUAAAUUGCCAACUAUAAACUAAAACCACGUGAAGCCAUCAUUUAUAUCGGCACACUGAAACUUAAGCUGUUUAUCUAAAACGUAAAAGCAAACAUCUUUCCUAAAUUUCAUGGGAAUUAAUAAUGGGAUUGAUUGAAGUGCUAUAAAAUAUACAAAUAUACUUUAAAAUGCGAACAUAUUUUUGUCAAGCUUUACAAAAUUAAAGAUUAAGCAUUUGGGAGCCCAGUUUGUUUGCCGUGCAAGGUAACGUCCUUCUGCAGGCGUUUGAAUGUGUAUAAGAUGUGCGGGCGCCGGUGUUUCUGCGAAUCACGAGUCAAGAAAUAAUCAAUAAAAAUUAAAUAUAUCACACGGCGUUCCCAUUGCCGCCAGCCGGUAACGGUUAGCUUCACCUUUACCUUUACCGCUACCGAAACCGUUACCGCUUCCCGAAAUGCCCAUUACACCAACGUACCCGGUUCGUUAUUUUCGGUUUGGCUCAGUACGCUGCUCAUUUCGUGUUCACGUGCCAUUAUACCGAAAAAUAAUAUUCUUAUACAUAUACACAUGUACGUCGUAUACAUUGUACUUUUCUACCUUUCGCCAGUUCUUGCCGCUUUGGUGUAAUUUUUUCUGUUGUUUUUUUUUUGCCACCAGCGUGAAGCAAGAGGAAGAAGCAGCAGCACGCACGCGCAUGGGUGGCUAGAAAAUUCUCCGGGGUGAAGUACAUAGUUCGGGGUUUAAGGCACCCCUAGUUGACUGAUUUUCAUGCCUGUGUCAUGUUAUUGGGUAAAUUGUACAAUGUUAAAACCAGCCACAGUAAAAUUUCGCUGGCAACGAGUUGAGCGGAGGGGAGGGGGCUAUGAAAAUUGGAGAGUAGGGGUCGCCGAUAAGCGACAUAUCAGGGUGCAUCCUCUAAAAUCCUUGCCGAUAACUCCGCACAGAAAGUUGUUUCUCGCGGAAAACGCGUUGACAACCAACAUCGUAAAGAAUAUUAAAAAAACAACUCCUAUGGGUAGGGAAAAUAUGGAAAAUGGGGUGGGAGCACCUUCAUAACAUAUUUGAAAUUUAAUCGAUUUAUAGGGCGGAAAACUUCAAACUGAUUGUUAAGAAACUUUUUAACUAUCAAAAAGUCAAUUUUAAAUGGGAACAAUUGAGGAUUGUGGUUUUAUUUUGCAAUUGCAUGAAGGGUUUAUUUGCAAAAAUCAAAGACCUAUUAAACUGAAUUGAACUUAAUAGUUUGUAUUCCCCCUCACAUGACUCCCAACUUUAUGACUGUCGAAUUUCUUAGUUGGGAAAUUAAUACAUAUUGAUCUUAUUUUGUAUAUGCACUUCCCAAUUUUUUCCUCUAACUUUCCCAAAUAUAUCAAUUUAUGUUUAAAAAAGAAUCACGUUUUCCAUUCCAUCCCCCGUUUAUCUGCACUCCGAAAACUUAGGUUUCCCGCUGGCUAAUUUUACUGCUAUCGAUCUGUUCUUAAUGCCCUUCGGCCUGCAGUUUCCCACAUGUUAUUGUUCGUUACCACUUCACUUCAUUCAUGCGGAUCCGCAUGAACGACAAUCUUUUUUGGCCUGCAGUGGGGACACAGAGGACAGAGAAGAACAGUUUUUAGAUUUUUUCCAUACUUGUGCUCAUUGCAGCAAAAUGUCCCUUUUAUUGUUGCUCAGUUUAUGUUUAACAAGCCUCCGCUUUCGCACUCCUUUUCUUGCUUCCUUCAUCGAUUAUGCCCAGCCAGAAAAGGUAGGGAACAUCCUCCAGCCACAUUUAUAUUUAAGUAUAUAUCUGGAGGAGGAUUCGUGUGAAAUUUUGUAUGCGGCCUUUGUGUUUGAGUGCCGCGCACACUUGAGUGCACAAUGGGAAAACCUUUUCGCACGCCACACACAUUCUCACGCACACGCUCGCAGGCACAAGGAUACAACGGAUGCAGGAUGAGGGCAGCAGGCAGCCCACAGAGGAAGUUGUCUUCUGCACUAAGUAACUGUUUUAGUUUCAACCGAGGACUGUGUUAAUUGCAAUUAUGCAAUGACUGCCUGUGCUACCGUUUUCCUCGACCCCACAACCCACACCAACACCCAUGCAUAAUUUUCCUAGCACAUCCUUGCGAAUGGCACAUCCCGGCUAUUGCAUUGAUGGCAGUAAUCUGCUGCUGCCACUCCUCCUUCCCCACUUCUCCCCACUAUCCAGGCGUUGCAAGAUUAUUGUGACACAAUUUUAUGCAUUACGCCCGUCAGCACAGUGCGCGUUCUUGUCGGUGGGCGGUGUAACUACAGUGAUUCCACGUUGCAUAAAUCUAUGAUUCGAUAUCCCGCAGUCGAUGCUACAAACUUUGCUGCUGCCAAUGCAGUUCCGUGGCUAAUUAAAGGCGUCAAGCGCCUGAUUCCUCUGAUGUUCUGGUCAUGCUACUCAGAGUCUCGUUUUGCCAUCAACAUGUGGCACAGCAGGCAUCAACACUGUGGUAAGAACAUUUAUUCGGUCAAGAACUAAGUCAGCCUAAAAUGCAGCAGGAAAUUUUAAAUUUUUCGUAAGUAAGACAUGCAAUGCAAUGUCAUACUAUAAUAAUUGAAAUAUAAAUGUACAAUACAUGUCAUUUCAAAAUUUUUAUUAAAUCGCAAAUGGGGCCUUUUUGGAUUUGCAAUAAUAAUACAAUUCGAUUUCAAUAUAUAGUCAUUUGCAGUGUAGGACCUGGAAUCCAGUGCCAUCAUUGCAAAAACGUAUACAAAUAUGAGCUUGUGUGUAAGAGUGGGUGGUUGCGUGGCUCGUGGAGUUGUGGCACAUGCCACACACCGCCAUGCCACAUGCUUUGGCAGCGCCACGUUCCGUUCCAUUAUGCCACUCUCUACGGCAACUAGUUAUGCGGCGGAUGUGUCUGUGGGCGUGGCAUGCGAAUCGAGAUUGGAGAAAGACGGAGCGAGGUAAACCACCCAACAAUCAGCCGCCUUGAAAGGCCGAGAAAAAUCACUAAGAAUAUUGUAGAGAAGGCCUCGAAUACAAAAAUACCUAUUGAUAAGCCUGCCUCAGGAAAGAUUUCGUUCGCCUUUACGGAAUACGUUCGGAAAAAGAUUCCAUAUAUGGAAGAUUCUGUGGUUUUUUUUUGCAAAUAGUUUUCAAAUGCAUCUGUUUCGGCAAUAUCGGGCUUAUCGGUUGAAUACUCCCGUCUCUUACUUGACUAAGGGGUAAUAAAUCGAAAAAAAAAAACAAAAAAAAAGGGAGAAGCAGCCGCGUGUCCUGGCUCCACUCUGCUUCCUUUCACUGAUUUUCUUUCGUUGUGAGUCUGCAUUUAAGUGCUACCAAAAUUGCCUUUUUAAAGGAUUUCCACACGCACACACAUGUCCUCAAUGCCUGGGUGUCUUUUACGCUUGUCAACGUCCUCGACAUCGUUGUAGAUUUUUGUGCCAUUUCUUCUGCCUUUCCAAUUGAUGCAUCUAUCUGAGGGCAUUUCCCUUUUGCACUCCUCUGCAAUUUUCAUCGCUCCUUUUCUUUUAUUUUUCGAUUUCCUUCCCUUUUUCUGUGGCACUUUGCCAGGCUACGCAUUUUCAAACUCAAUUCGUGUGAUAAACUAGAAUAAAACUGCUCGUAAUUCCAUUUUUUAUUCUUUUAGGUAUGGUUGUUUUUGAGUCGGCCUUUCUCCCACAUGCAUUUCACUUUUAUUGGAACCCUCUCGCCAUGCAGAUAAUUUUUUUCCCCAAAUUGCAUUUUCUAUGUCAAAGGCGCUUAAUUUAGUUUUCUUUUGCCUUUUUCAGUUUCAACUUUCAGUUUUAAUCGGUUGAAGCGUUUGUCUUCUGUUUUUGGCAUGUAAUUUUCGAAAUUUGUUUUUCUUGCCAGCGGUUGUCAUUUUGAUUUAUUUUUUAUCGAAUAAAAUGUUAAGAUGCAGUUCGUUUUGUGUCUGGUCAAUUAUUAAAGAGCCAGCAAUUAAAUAAUAACAAUCCAAUGGAAAAAAAGGCCGUAAUGCAAAUAAUAAGUUCUUUUUAAUACGAUUUACAGUUAUGAACGAUAAAUUCAGCAAGAAGAAAUAUUCUCGCCUCGUGACGAGACAUUUUCCCGAAGUAAUAAAAGCGCAUUAUACCCAUACUGGCCCCAAAAAAGAACGGAAAAAAUGAAAAAUAGUAAAGCUUGGAACACAGGAAUUAAUGUUGCAACCCUUAGAAAGCCCCAAAGAAGUUGAAAUUGUGUUGAAUUCUUUGGAGAAUUCUGGUGCUGAAGUUUGGGUAAACAAAGGCACCAAAUGUGGCACGUAAACAUAAACGAAUCCAGGCUAAGGUCAGUUGAGAGACAUACGAGUAAACAAUGAGGUUGUUUUUCUACGAAACUCCAAGAAAAUUAACCUCCACAAAGGUUUCAAUUGCAUUCAAGAGUAAACAAAUUUGUGGAAUCGAAAACAAUUGAAAAUGUAUCUUUGUAGGAGGGUAAAUAGGCAAGCGAGCAGUCCAACCCAGUGGAAAGAAGUUAUUUCUAACGUGCAUGUCUUUAACUAGUUUCCUAAAUAUAACUUGUACCAUUCGCCAAGUUUCUAUUUGCCAAUCAAAAGCAAUUAUAAUGAAAUUAUAAUAAUGAGCAAUUUUAAAGGGGUA